rnacentral:rRNA from 1 species
GGAAUAUUGCACAAUGGGGGGAACCCUGAUGCAGCGACGCCGCGUGAGCGAGGAAGUAUUUCGGUAUGUAAAGCUCUAUCAGUAGGGACGAAAAAAGACGGUACCUGACUAAGAAGCCCCGGCUAACUACGUGCCAGCAGCCGCGGUAAUACGUAGGGGGCAAGCGUUAUCCGGAUUUACUGGGUGUAAAGGGAGCGUAGACGGCAUGGCAAGCCAGAUGUGAAAGCCCGGGGCUCAACCCCGGGACUGCAUUUGGAACUGUCAGGCUAGAGUGUCGGAGAGGAAAGCGGAAUUCCUAGUGUAGCGGUGAAAUGCGUAGAUAUUAGGAGGAACACCAGUGGCGAAGGCGGCUUUCUGGACGAUGACUGACGUUGAGGCUCGAAAGCGUGGGGAGCAAACA